UGGGGAAUAUUGCACAAUGGGCGGAAGCCUGAUGCAGCGACGCCGCGUGGGGGAUGAAGGCCUUCGGGUUGUAAACUCCUUUCGACAGGGACGAAGCUUUUGUGACGGUACCUGUAUAAGAAGCACCGGCUAACUACGUGCCAGCAGCCGCGGUAAUACGUAGGGUGCGAGCGUUGUCCGGAAUUACUGGGCGUAAAGAGCUCGUAGGUGGUUUGUCGCGUCGUCUGUGAAAUUCCGGGGCUUAACUCCGGGCGUGCAGGCGAUACGGGCUGACUUGAGUGCUGUAGGGGAGACUGGAAUUCCUGGUGUAGCGGUGAAAUGCGCAGAUAUCAGGAAGAACACCGAUGGCGAAGGCAGGUCUCUGGGCAGUAACUGACGCUGAGGAGCGAAAGCAUGGGUAGCGAACAGG
rnacentral:rRNA from 1 species